UGCCGCCAUGGCAGAGUCCAUGGCAACUGCUGAAAAGAUGCCAUGCGUGGGCAUUCAGAACCGACUUCCUGCCUCUGGGUCUUCCAUGGUAUAAAGCCUGCAUAUGUAAAUGAUGCAGAAUUGUUGGGGAAGAUGACAACUUGCCAAUGUCAAUCUUCUUGAAAGAGAACCCGGAAAGAAUAAACUCCUCCGCCAAGAAGACGUUCUCGUUCUUGGAAACUUUGCCAAGUUCAAGCACUCAAACUUACAACUCCUUCUAUUAAUGGUAAAUAAAUAACUCCUAACAAAAAAACUUCA